rnacentral:rRNA from 1 species
GCGAACGCUGGCGGCGUGCUUAACACAUGCAAGUCGCACGGAAAGGCCCUGCUUUUGUGGGGUGCUCGAGUGGCGAACGGGUGAGUAACACGUGAGUAACCUGCCCUUGACUUUGGGAUAACUUCAGGAAACUGGGGCUAAUACCGGAUAGGAGCUCCUGCUGCAUGGUGGGGGUUGGAAAGUUUCGGCGGUUGGGGAUGGACUCGCGGCUUAUCAGCUUGUUGGUGGGGUAGUGGCUUACCAAGGCUUUGACGGGUAGCCGGCCUGAGAGGGUGACCGGCCACAUUGGGACUGAGAUACGGCCCAGACUCCUACGGGAGGCAGCAGUGGGGAAUAUUGCACAAUGGGCGGAAGCCUGAUGCAGCAACGCCGCGUGCGGGAUGACGGCCUUCGGGUUGUAAACCGCUUUCGCCUGUGACGAAGCGCGAGUGACGGUAAUGGGUAAAGAAGCACCGGCUAACUACGUG